AGAAAAGCUGCGGAGGAAAGAAGCGUCUCAGUUUGCAAAUCUCCCAAAAUUGGUGGGCCAGGCCAUGGUCGAUCCAGACCACUCACCACUCAGACAGUGUUAUCAGAUGAGGAUGUAAGAGCAGCUAUUGCUCUUUUGAGACACUCUGCUGAUGAAGACAUCCGUAAAAAGAUGAAAGCUACCUUCAUUUAUCGGCAUUCAAUGGUCAACGAUGAAAAGAAUGCAGCAGAUGUCUUCAUAGGCCUGAUGCGGUUUCUGGACACACCAGGACUGAUAGAACAAGAUUUCCGACUCCUGUUUUGUGAGGUCACUGCCAGCAAAUCCUUGGAGAGGUGGCCCAUCAAUCUCAAAGCAAAGGUUGUAAAGGAAAGUCAUGGACUUGUCUCCACCUCAGAGCUCUUGGAGUUAAUGUGCAAUGCUGAGUCAGGUACUGAAGUUGAGAAUGGUAUGAUUGUGACUCAUUUUAUUUGCCAUUGUUGGUUAUAUAGGUAAUUCUGUCAAUUGAAUGUAUUUUUGAAAUAAUUUUUUGUUUAUUCGUCUGUAGGCUAGGACAGUGACAUGUCUACUAUCUUGCUGCAGCUACAUCUGCUACCACCAUUUGCACAAGGGUGAAAGAGACCAGGAAAGAUGUCUGCAUCUCAAGCUGUCGAUAACCUCAUCAAAUUCCCAAAGGCUGGAACCAGUGUAUAGCAGUAUCUAGACAACAGCAGUCAGCCCUACCUUCUUGCUUGGGGAUCCACAAGAAGCAGCAUUCACACCUUCAUUGUGAUUGACAAGCAUGCACUUCCAUGUAAAGCGACAGGUUCAGUAGUGAUGAACUCUUUAGGGCCCAUUAUGUCUUUGGUACAUCAUACAGUUCAUCGCUGUCCAACUUUUUUCACUUUUCUGCAAACAACUAUGACAUUGGGGAAACGCCAUAUUGCUUUCUCUAGUGAGCAUCAUAGAACUGUAUGCUAAUGUGAAUUGUAAGGGCUUGUUACGUUAAUUAAAUGACACUGAAAUGAGAAACAUAAUAAAUGCUGUUAC